rnacentral:rRNA from 1 species
UACGUAGGUGGCAAGCGUUGUUCGGAAUUAUUGGGCGUAAAGGGCGCGUAGGCGGUUUGUUAAGUCGGCUGUGAAAGCCCGGGGCUCAACCCCGGAGGGUCAGCCGAUACUGGCAGACUAGAGUACGGAAGAGGUAGCUGGAAUUCCCGGUGUAGCGGUGAAAUGCGUAGAUAUCGGUAGGAACACCAGUGGCGAAGGCGGUCUCCUGGCCCACUCUUGACGCUGAGGCGCGAAAGCUGGGGGAGCGAACGGG